rnacentral:pre_miRNA from 1 species
AAAAAGGCAAACCCUAGGUUUCUGUGUCCAACUUUGACUGUCCGUCUUAUAUGAAAUUUUUUUAUAAUUCGUAUUUUUAUUGUUGUUAGAUGAUAAAACAUGAUUAAUAUUUUAUGCGUGACUUGUCUUUUUAAUUUUUUUCAUAAUUUUUUCAAAUAAGACGAACGGUCAAACGUUAGGCACGAAAACCAGGGUUUGUCUUUUU